ensembl:lncRNA
AUGUUGUGUAAAGACAAAAGUAAAAGUUUUCCCCUGACAUUAAGUCUAGUCAUGUCCUACUCUGGGGGUUUGUGCUCAUCUCCAUUUCUAAGCCGAAAAGCCGCCAUUGUCUGUAGAUGCUUCCAAGGUCAUACGGUCGGCAUGACUGCAUGGAGCACCAUUAUCUUCCCACAAAAGAGGUACCUAUUGAUCUACUCACAUUUGCAUGUUUUUAACUUCUGGACCGAAAGGCCGCAGGUUUGAAUUGGGGGAGCGGAGAGAGCCCCCACUGUUAGCCCCAGCUUCUGCCAACCCAGAAGUUCAAAACAUGCAAAUGUGAGUGCAUCAAUAGGUACUGCUCCGGCAGGAAGGUAACACCGCUUCAUGCAGUCAUUCCACAUGACCUUGGAGGAGUCUACAGACAACGCCGGCUCUUCAGCUUAGAAAAGGGGAUGAGCACCAACCCCCAGAGUCAGACACAACUGGACUUAACGUCAGGGGAAAACAUUUACCCUUUACCUUAACUACCACCAAUUCCUCAAUACUUUAUUUCCCAUACCACCAUACUUCGCCACAGCAACGUGUGGCUGGGCACAGCUAGUAUAAGUGAAAGUACGUCCACAACCCAGGAUCUAUUAUCCCCCAGUUUCAUAUUGCUAGAUAGAUUCUAAACAUGCUCAGAAUGGCAGAUAUGCUGGGAUGAGGAACAACAUCAAAUAAUUCAACAUAUAACAUUGGUAAAAAUUAUAAAUAAAACCAAUGCAUAUUAAAAUCCAUAAAUAAAUACUUUUAAACCAUAAUAUAAACAUAAUUGGGAAAGGUCUGCUGAAAGGGGCUGGUCUUUAGUGCUUAAAUACAGCAAGCAUUUCAAAAAGAUGAAUCUCUUUCAGUAGGUCAUUCCUCAGUCUGAGAGUGGUUGAAGAAAAGGUCUUCUGGGUAACUCUCAGCCUAGUUUUAACAGACUGAAGUAGAUGUCUCAAAGAGGACCUGAAUGUACUGGGUGGAUUAUAUGGGAGAAGAUCAUCUGUAUGUAUUCUGGACCCAAAAUAUGUAUGGUUUUAAAUGCAAUAACCAACACCUUGUUCUUUACCUAGAAAAUAAUUGGCAACUACAGUAGAGUCUCACUUAUCCAACAUAAAUGGUCCAGCAGAACCUUAGAUAAGCAAAACUGUUGGAAAACAAGGAGAGAUUAAGAAAAAGCCUUUUAAACAUCAAAUUACAUUAUGAUUUCACAAAUUAAGUACUAAGACAUCAUGUUUUACAACAAAUCAACAGAAAAAGCAGUUCAAUACACAGUAAUGUUAUGUGGUAAUUACUAUAUUUACGAAUUUUGCACCAAAACAUCACAGUUUAUUGAAAACAUUGACUACAAAAACAUUGACUACUAAAAAAUUGACUACAAAUAAAGAUAGAAUUGCAGAAAAUGAACUUACAGUAGCAUGUUGUCAGAAGUUAAAUCCAUAAAAAGUUCAGUCCUUACUGCCUAGAGAAACAGCUGUGGAUUCGGGCAAGAGGCAGACUGCGUUGGAUAAUCCAGAACAUUGGAUAAGUGAAGGUUGGAUAAGUGAGACUCUACUGUAGUGGAAUGAUUUUAAUAUUGGUGUAAUGUGGUUACUCCUAGAUGUACCUGUAACCAAUAUGUCUGCCAUGUUUUAAAUUCACUCAAGUUUCCAAACAUGAUUCAAAGAUAGCACAAUGUAGAAUGCACUGCGGAAGUGCAAUCUUGAGGUUAAAAGCACCUGCACUAUCAUCCUUAGAUCCUCCAUGUCUGGGAAAAGGCAUAAUUGGUGUAACUGCCAAAGCUGAUAAUAAGCACUCCUUAUCAUCACAUCUAUCCAGGCUAUCAUUUGGAGGGACAGAUCCAGGGGCACUCUCAAGCAGCAAGCAUAGUCUGUCAUGGGAAGGGUAAUCCCAUUCAGAACUGGUCAACACACCUCUAGACACAGGUUAGUACAGUAUGUAACUCCAUCUUGUCUGAUGUUGGGUUCAGUUGUUUUUUCAUCAUCCAGCCAUUACCUCCUCCAGGCAUUCAUUCAGAGGAGAUACACUAUUCUUAGCUGAUACUAUUCUGAAGACAUAAAGAAGUAUAUUUGGGUAUCAUCAUCAUAUCAGUAGCACCUUACCCCAUAUUCUGCAGCCUUGAGCAAAAGACAAAAUAGUCUCCCUUACCCCGGUCCAUACCAUUCUGACUGUUCCACUCAGUCAAGAUUCUGUCAUGUAGAAGGGUACCAAUCAGGCUUAUAAUACAAUCAUCCCUGUUUGUGCCAGUUAUCCCUUCACCUUCGGAGUGAAAUAGUUACAACACUUUUGGC